GGAUAGCUCAGUCGGUAGAGCAUGAAACUCUUAAUCAAAGGGUUGUGGGUUCGAGUCCCAUGUUAAGCA